rnacentral:rRNA from 1 species
UACGUAGGGUGCAAGCGUUGUCCGGAAUUAUUGGGCGUAAAGAGCUCGUAGGCGGUUCGGUAAGUCGGGUGUGAAAACUCUGGGCUCAACCCAGAGAGGCCACCCGAUACUGCUGUGACUAGAGUGCGGUAGGGGAGCGGGGAAUUCCUGGUGUAGCGGUGAAAUGCGCAGAUAUCAGGAGGAACACCUGCGGUGUAGACGGCUUACUGGACCAUAACUGACGCUGAGGCACGAAAGCGUGGGUAGCAAACAGG